rnacentral:tRNA from 1 species
UGACAUACUUAUUAAAUAAAUAAACACACAAUUCCUUUGUGUGUUUAUUUAUUUAAA